GCCUGGGUGGCUCAGUCGGUUAAGCGUCUGACUUCAGCUCAGGUCAUGAUCUCUCAGUUCGUGAGUUCGAGACCCACACUGGGCU
rfam:Felis catus isolate Cinnamon breed Abyssinian chromosome C2, whole genome shotgun sequence.